rnacentral:lncRNA from 1 species
AAAUAUUCCAAAACAAAAAUUAUUGACACUUGUAAGAAUUCUGGAUGCUGAUUAGAGAUAUCUUCUUUUUGGCUCUCUAAGAUUUUGCUUCAGUAUCUUCAAGGAACAGUGAAUUCUAUUCUGCUAUGUGGAAGAAAAGAAUUUCAAGCUUCCUUCUCCGAGCCUCUGCCAGUUUGACACUUCUUUUGAAACCCUGUGAUCAAUGCUGCACAUAAUAUUCUGGAGGAGAUGACAUUUUAGAUGGAUAUGUGGUGCAGAAGUGCCCAGAGCACUGAAGAUGUUUGUGUGGAAGAGCCUGCUUUAGCCAUCCCUUGAUGCCUGAGGUCUGCCAGAGACAGAUGUGUAAACUACAGCUUUUAAAUUAUAUGGAGGAUGUAGGUUAGGAUACGUGGAUGGUGCUUGCUUCAAUGUGGCAGGGGGCUGGAAGAGGCUCUUAAGUCUGCUAGGAAAAUGUUCCUGCCUGUCUUGUUCAUGCUGCUCAGUUACAUGGCCAGAAGACACUCCUCCUAAGAGAAAAAGAAAUGGUGAUAACCAGCAGAGGAGACUGAGAUUGGUGCCUGUUUUUUCUUCAGUUGUCAGAGGCUUCACAGAAGACUUUCUUCCUAUAAACUGA